CAUAAGACUCCAUUUUUCAGUUUUUUUAUAUAACGUUUGACUUUGUCUUAUUAAAAAAAUUUCUAUAAUUAGUAUUUUCAUUGUUAUUAGAUGAUAAAACAUGAAUAGUAAUCUAUGCAUGACUAAUUUUUUUAAUUUUUUCAUAUUUUUUAGAAAUAAGACGGACAGUUAAACGUUGGAUAAAAAAACCC
rnacentral:pre_miRNA from 1 species